UAAAUAUUAUAGGUUAAGUUAUUAAGGGCGCAUGGUGGAUGCCUUGGCACUAGGAGCCGAUGAAGGACGUGACUAACUGCGAUAUGCUUCGGGGAGUCGUAAGUAGACUGUGAUCCGGAGAUUUCCGAAUGGGGAAACCCAGCAGGUUUUGCCUGCUAUCGCUCAAUGAAUUCAUAGUUGAGCUGAAGGUAGACGCGGGGAACUGAAACAUCUAAGUACCCGCAGGAAGAGAAAGAAAAUUCGAUUCCCUAAGUAGCGGCGAGCGAACGGGGAACAGCCCAAACCAGAGAGCUUGCUCUUUGGGGUUGUAGGACUGGACAUCUGAGUUACCAAGAAAUAACGUAGUCGAAUGAUAUGGGAAGAUCAGCCAGAGAAGGUAACAGCCCUGUAAACGAAACGUUGUUUCCUCAGUCCAGGAUCCUGAGUACGGCGGAACACGUGAAACUCCGUCGGAAUCCGGGAGGACCAUCUCCCAAGGCUAAAUACUCCCUAGU
rnacentral:rRNA from 1 species